rnacentral:rRNA from 1 species
GAUGAACGCUUUCUUCUUUCCUAAUACAUGCAAGUCGAGCGAACGGACGAGAAGCUUGCUUUUCUGAUGUUAGCGGCGGACGGGUGAGUAACACGUGGAUAACCUACCUAUAAGACUGGGAUAACUUCGGGAAACCGGAGCUAAUACCGGAUAAUAUUUUGAACCGCAUGGUUCAAAAGUGAAAGACGGUCUUGCUGUCACUUAUAGAUGGAUCCGCGCUGCAUUAGCUAGUUGGUAAGGUAACGGCUUACCAAGGCAACGAUGCAUAGCCGACCUGAGAGGGUGAUCGGCCACACUGGAACUGAGACACGGUCCAGACUCCUACGGGAGGCAGCAGUAGGGAAUCUUCCGCAAUGGGCGAAAGCCUGACGGAGCAACGCCGCGUGAGUGAUGAAGGUCUUCGGAUCGUAAAAAUCUGUUAUUAGGGAAGAACAUAUGUGUAAGUAACUGUGCACAUCUUGACGGUACCUAAUCAGAAAGCCACGGCUAACUACGUG